rnacentral:rRNA from 1 species
GAUGAACUGAGGGUAGCGGAGAAAUUCCAAUCGAACCUGGAGAUAGCUGGUUCUCUCCGAAAUAGCUUUAGGGCUAGCCUCAAGUGAUGAUUAUUGGAGGUAGAGCACUGUUUGGACGAGGGGCCCCUCUCGGGUUACCGAAUUCAGACAAACUCCGAAUGCCAAUUAAUUUAACUUGGGAGUCAGAACAUGGGUGAUAAGGUCCGUGUUCGAAAGGGAAACAGCCCAGACCACCAGCUAAGGUCCCAAAAUAUAUGUUAAGUGGAAAAGGAUGUGGCGUUGCCCAGACAACUAGGAUGUUGGCUUAGAAGCAGCCAUCAUUUAAAGAGUGCGUAAUAGCUCACUAGUCGAGUGACACUGCGCCGAAAAUGUACCGGGGCUAAACAUAUUACCGAAGCUGUGGAUUGUCCUUUGGACAAUGGUAGGAGAGCGUUCUAAGGGCGUUGAAGCAUGAUCGUAAGGACAUGUGGAGCGCUUAGAAGUGAGAAUGCCGGUGUGAGUAGCGAAAGACGGGUGAGAAUCCCGUCCACCGAUUGACUAAGGUUUCCAGAGGAAGGCUCGUCCGCUCUGGGUUAGUCGGGUCCUAAGCUGAGGCCGACAGGCGUAGGCGAUGGAUAACAGGUUGAUAUUCCUGUACCACCUAUAAUCGUUUUAAUCGAUGGGGGGACGCAGUAGGAUAGGCGAAGCGUGCGAUUGGAUUGCACGUCUAAGCAGUAAGGCUGAGUAUUAGGCAAAUCCGGUACUCGUUAAGGCUGAGCUGUGAUGGGGAGAAGACAUUGUGUCUUCGAGUCGUUGAUUUCACACUGCCGAGAAAAGCCUCUAGAUAGAAAAUAGGUGCCCGUACCGCAAACCGACACAGGUAGUCAAGAUGAGAAUUCUAAGGUGAGCGAGCGAACUCUCGUUAAGGAACUCGGCAAAAUGACCCCGUAACUUCGGGAGAAGGGGUGCUCUUUAGGGUUAACGCCCAGAAGAGCCGCAGUGAAUAGGCCCAAGCGACUGUUUAUCAAAAACACAGGUCUCUGCUAAACCGUAAGGUGAUGUAUAGGGGCUGACGCCUGCCCGGUGCUGGAAGGUUAAGAGGAGUGGUUAGCUUCUGCGAAGCUACGAAUCGAAGCCCCAGUAAACGGCGGCCGUAACUAUAACGGUCCUAAGGUAGCGAAAUUCCUUGUCGGGUAAGUUCCGACCCGCACGAAAGGCGUAACGAUUUGGGCACUGUCUCAACGAGAGACUCGGUGAAAUCAUAGUACCUGUGAAGAUGCAGGUUACCCGCGACAGGACGGAAAGACCCCGUGGAGCUUUACUGUAGCCUGAUAUUGAAAUUCGGCACAGCUUGUACAGGAUAGGUAGGAGCCUUUGAAACGUGAGCGCUAGCUUACGUGGAGGCGCUGGUGGGAUACUACCCUAGCUGUGUUGGCUUUCUAACCCGCACCACUUAUCGUGGUGGGAGACAGUGUCAGGCGGGCAGUUUGACUGGGGCGGUCGCCUCCUAAAAGGUAACGGAGGCGCUCAAAGGUUCCCUCAGAAUGGUUGGAAAUCAUUCAUAGAGUGUAAAGGCAUAAGGGAGCUUGACUGCGAGACCUACAAGUCGAGCAGGGUCGAAAGACGGACUUAGUGAUCCGGUGGUUCCGCAUGGAAGGGCCAUCGCUCAACGGAUAAAAGCUACCCCGGGGAUAACAGGCUUAUCUCCCCCAAGAGUUCACAUCGACGGGGAGGUUUGGCACCUCGAUGUCGGCUCAUCGCAUCCUGGGGCUGUAGUCGGUCCCAAGGGUUGGGCUGUUCGCCCAUUAAAGCGGUACGCGAGCUGGGUUCAGAACGUCGUGAGACAGUUCGGUCCCUAUCCGUCGUGGGCGUAGGAAAUUUGAGAGGAGCUGUCCUUAGUACGAGAGGACCGGGAUGGACAUACCUCUGGUGUACCAGUUGUCGUGCCAACGGCAUAGCUGGGUAGCUAUGUGUGGACGGGAUAAGUGCUGAAAGCAUCUAAGCAUGAAGCCCCCCUCAAGAUGAGAUUUCCCAACUUCGGUUAUAAGAUCCCUCAAAGAUGAUGAGGUUAAUAGGUUCGAGGUGGAAGCAUGGUGACAUGUGGAGCUGACGAAUACUAAUCGAUCGAAGACUUAAUCAA